rnacentral:rRNA from 1 species
UACGGAGGGUGCGAGCGUUGUCCGGAAUCAUUGGGCGUAAAGGGCGCGUAGGUGGCCACUUCAAGCGUGCGGUGAAAGUCGGGGGCUCAACCCCGAGUCGGCCGUCGAUACUUCCGGGCUGGAGCACUGUAGAGGCAGGUGGAAUUCCGGGUGUAGCGGUGGAAUGCGUAGAGAUCCGGAAGAACACCGGUGGCGAAGGCGGCCUGCUGGGCAGUAGCUGACGCUGAGGCGCGACAGCGUGGGGAGCAAACAGG